rnacentral:rRNA from 1 species
GACAGAGGGUGCAAACGUUGCUCGGAAUUACUGGGCGUAAAACGCGUGUAGGCGGGUCGGAAAGUCGGGCGUGAAAUCCCCAGGCUCAACCUGGGAACUGCACUCGAAACUUCCGGUCUAGAGUGGUGGAGAGGGAAGUGGAAUUCCUGGUGUAGAGGUGAAAUUCGUAGAUAUCAGGAGGAACACCAGUGGCGAAGGCGGCUUCCUGGACACCAACUGACGCUGAGACGCGAAAGCGUGGGGAGCAAACAGG